UCUCAAAAUUUUGGUCAUCAGCAAGAUUUAGUUCUUGUUUGGAUAUAAGCCUUUUUUUUUGUCAAUGUCCCACUAUCAACUCUAAUUCAUUUUCUUGCUAAAGUUGGCCAACUCAGAACUCACUAGCCAAAUAUAUUUGGCUUGGCAAACAUGAACUCAAACCAAACACAACCCUUUGUUAGCAUAGUUAAGGACUUGGGGGUUGGGGUAAAAACGCCUCUUCCAGACAGAAGCCAAAAACAAAUGUCUAAUUCCUCGCUUCAAUAAUUCAAAUUCUCUAGACCUCCGGCAUGGAUUCCCACCACCGCUCGCCGGAAUAUAGCUCCCUCCUCCUCGCCGGCCCACGCAUCGGCCCUCUGAAGCAAGCGCACGCGCGCCUCGUCGUCACGGGUCACAGCCGCUGCCUCCCGCUUAUCACCAAGCUGGCCAACCUCGCCGUCGCAGCCGGCGCCGCUCCCUACGCGCACCUCGUCGCCACCUCCCACCCCGCAUCCGACUCCUUCCUCUUCUCCUCCCUCGCGCGUGCCGCCACGCACCAGGGCCUCCCCCUCGCCGCCCUUGCAUUCUACCGCUGCCUCCUCUCAGCCGCCCUCCCCUUCUCCAGCUUCGCCUUCACAGCUGUUGCCAAGGCCUGCGCCGACCUGUCCGCCCUUCGAACCGGCAUGACCGUCCACGCCCACUCCAUCCUCCUCGGGUUUGGCUCCGAUCGUUUCGUGCUGACGGCACUUGUUGUGCUCUACUCCAAGUGCGGUCGACUACCUGUUGCACGCAAGCUGUUCGACGCAAUUCGUGAUAAAAAUGUUGUCGCUUGGAACGCGAUGAUUUCUGGGUACGAACAGAAUGGGCUUGCCGAGCAGGGGAUUGAGGUGUAUAAGGAGAUGAAGGUGGCCAAGGCGGUGCCUGAUUCCAUGACAUUUGUGGCUACGCUCUCUGCUUGUGCACAGGCUGGUGCUCUGGACUUGGGACGUGAAGUGGAGAGACGUAUUGUUUCUGAAAGAAUGGACAUUAGUGUGUUUCUUGGAUCUGCACUCGUGAACAUGUAUGCCAGAUGUGGUGUUGUCGACAAGGCUCGUCAAUGGUUCGAUGUUCUCCAGGAGAGGAACGUCGUUACAUGGACUUCCAUGAUCGCUGGGUAUGGAAUGCAUGGCCAUGGUCAUGAGGCAAUCAAGCUGUACCAUUUGAUGAGAUGCAAGGGGCCGCCGCCCAAUGAUGUCACCUUUGUUGCUGUUUUAUCCGCAUGUGCACAUGCUGGGUUAAUUACAGAGGGUCGUGAUGCCUUUGCUUGCAUGAAGAGGGUCUAUGGACUGGCCCCUCGUGUCGAGCACUACUGUUCUAUGGUUGAUAUGUAUGGAAGGGCUGGACGUCUUGAAGAAGCAAUGCAGUUUAUACGCGAUUCUAUGCCUGGAGAUCCAGGACCUGAAGUUUGGACAGCAAUACUUGGGGCAUGCAAGAUGCACAAGAAUUUCAGUCUUGGGGUGGAGGUGGCUGAGCGACUCAUUAGGCUCGAGCCUGAGAAUCCAUCGUACCAUGUUCUGCUUUCUAAUAUAUAUGCUUUAUCCGGUAAAAUGUACCAUGUCGAGAAAGUAAGGAAUACCAUGAUCAAGAGAAGAUUGAAGAAGCAAAUAGGAUACAGCUUGAUUGAGCUUGGAGGUACUUCCCAUUUAUUUCGCAUGGGCGAAAAGUCUCAUCAGAAAACUAGAGAGAUUUAUCAGUACUUGGAGGAACUGGUGCAUAGGAUUAGUGCUGCUGGCUACAUGCCUGAAACUGAGUCUGUGCUGCAUGAGUUGGAAGAAGAGGAGAGGGAGGGUGCACUGAGAUAUCACAGUGAAAAACUGGCAGUAGCUUAUGGGCUCAUGAUGAGCGCAGGAAGCACCACCCCCCUCAGAGUAAUAAAGAACCUGCGGAUAUGCAGCGAUUGCCAUCUUGCCAUCAAGUUUAUGUCAGCUGUGGAGAACCGAGAGAUCAUUGUCAGGGAUAAGCACCGUUUUCACCAUUUUAAAGAUGGCAAGUGUUCCUGUCUGGAAUAUUGGUGACAAGCUGUCAUCUGUUGUUAGGUACAUUUGACUGGUACUAAUAGUCAUUGACAAAAUAAUUUCUUGGGAUUGAACAACUACACUAGCAUAUACUGCUUGUCCAGGAAUUCUCUCAUCAGCACCGUCUUUAUUAAUUUCAAUCACCAGUAGAAGGUACCUGCAUAUUCCACACUUCCAUCAAAUUCUCAAGCGUUAGGAUGUUGAAAGACGAAGAACCAGCUCAGGAUGUUGAAAGACGAAGAACCAGCUCAGGUAUGCUUUGGUAGAGAGUGGGUGAUACAAGUCUACUGUUUCUUAUGAGGACUUGUGAUUUGGACAAUUCUGUCCCCACUCAGUCUCCAGUAUUGAUUGGAAGUGAGAGCAGAUCAAGUCCAAUACAGUAUUCUGAUUCACAUCCGUCUGUCUGAUCCGUGAAGCACGUUGAUUCCCAUCGAUCUGCUAUGCAAAGACUGAAAGACAUAUUCUUGAUUUUUUGUGCUCGGUAUUAGUGAUGUGCCUGGCUCAUUUCAUGCGGGGAAUUAUAGCACAGAAGCUCUUCUUCUCUCUCCGGCCUCAGUGUGUGGAUAAUACGCUGCAUUUGAAGCCUUGUUCUGCAGAUUGCUCACACAUUGGUGAGUGGUGACUGACGCCAACUAUGGUUUGCUAAUUGAUUGCAACUGCAAAAUAGCCAAGAUUAGAAGAUUGUAGAGUUUCAUGCACCAAACUUAAUAUUCUGUUGAGGAAUGAUGGGCAAAAUACACUUCAUUUCAAUGAAGAUUGUACUUUUGACCGCAACAUUACUUUGUCAAUGUCCUUUCGAAAGUACACCGUCCUUAUCACUCGCAAGCUACAACUUUUAUCCGAACAAACCAUGGGCACCAGCAAACAGCAUGGUCCCCGCUGCGUAAUUGGUGUCAGUGCUUUUCAGGCCGGUGUGACUUGGAUGGUUAUGUUUUGGACUGUGGCCAAAGUCUUGGAUGGGCGUCAAUCUUUUGGCAAGCCAAAAUCUUUUUGCUCGUUUCAGAUCAUUUUUCUUGUGAACAUUGGCUAGCUUAUGGGCAAGCUAAACUUCAGCUAAAACUUUAGCCAAAUGUUUGACAUGACAGAUCUUUGGCAGAAGCAAAGAAAAUGUAACAUUGAAGCGGGUUUGAACUUGUUAGGAAGGGAGACUCUUGAAUUUGUCUUCAAA